UCACCCCUCAAGCCCGGCUUGGUGUUGGACCUCGGGCCCCCCGUCACGGGGGCCGGUCCCAAAGAUAAUGGCAGGUCGGUCGCGACCUCGGUACACUGAGCUUCACAAGAGCACGUGCCGUACGGGCGUCGACGGGCCUGGUCUCCCCCUAGAAUUUUUCUCA
rnacentral:misc_RNA from 1 species